GAUGAAGAACGUAGUGAAAUGCGAUAAGUAGUGUGAAUUGCAGAAUUCAGUGAAUCAUCGAAUCUUUGAACGCACAUUGCGCCCCUUGGUAUUCCAUGGGGCAUGCCUGUUCGAGCGUCAUUUGUACCCUCAAGCUUUGCUUGGUGUUGGGUGUUUGUCCCGCGCUCUUUUGCGCAAGACUCGCCUUAAAUCAAUUGGCAGCCGGCAUGUUAGCCUGGAGCGCAGCACAUUUUGCGCCCCUUGCUUGCUUGUGUUGGCCCCCAUCAAGUCCAUAUAUUUGCUCUUGACCUCGGAUCAGGUAGGGAUACCCGCUGAACUUAAGCAUAUCAAUAAGUGGAGGA
rnacentral:misc_RNA from 1 species